rnacentral:rRNA from 1 species
GACGAACGCUGGCGGCGUGCUUAACACAUGCAAGUCGAACGGAAAGGCCUCUUUCGUGGGGUACUCGCGUGGCGAACGGGUGAGUAACACGUGAGUAACCUGCCCUUGACUUUUGGAUAACUUCAGGGAACUGGGGCUAAUACCGGAUAGGAGCUCCUGCUGCAUGGUGGGGGGUGGAGAGUUUCGGCGGUUGGGGAUGGACUCGCGGCGUAUCAGCUUGUUUGUGGGGUAGUGGCUUACCAAGGCUUUGACGGGUAGCCGGCCUGGGAGGGGGACCGGCCAACUUGGGACUGAGGUACGGCCCAGGCUCCUACGGGGGGCAGGAGGGGGGAAGAUUGGAACAUGGGUGGAAGCCUGAUGCAGGAACGCCGUGUGCGGGAUGACGGCCUUCGGGGUGUAAAACGGCUUCGCCCAUGACGAAGCUUUGUGUGACGGUAGUGGGUAAAGAAGCACCGGCUAACUACGUG